rnacentral:rRNA from 1 species
AGUAACACGUGGGCAACCUGGCUCUAAGAGGGGGACAACAGUUGGAAACGACUGCUAAUACCGCAUAACGUAUCGGGAUGGCAUCUUUCUGAUACCAAAGAUUUUAUCGCUUAGAGAUGGGCUCGCGUCUGAUUAGAUAGUUGGCGGGGUAACGGCCCACCAAGUCGACGAUCAGUAGCCGGACUGAGAGGUUGAACGGCCACAUUGGGACUGAGACACGGCCCAG